GGUGGGAGAUAAUUGAAUUCUGGUGGCAGUUUCCUCCAUAUUAUUCUUGUGGUAGUGAAUGAGUCUCACGAGAUCUGAUGGUUUUACAAGGAGAAACUCCUUUCGCUUGGCUCUCUUUCUUUGCCUGCCACCAUCCAUGUAAGAUGUGACUUGUUCCUCCCUGCCCUCCACCAUGAUCGUGAGGCUUCCCCCACCACGUGGAACUGAUGGCUGGGCUCCCGGCUAAACUACAACCUCAAGUCUGGAAGCUCGGCCCUAGUGAAAGCAGCUGACCUCGUUUCUCUGCCCAGAUGAUUGCCUUUUUGGCCUGCCCUGCCCCCUAUCCUGUGCCCAUAAGGACCAGACCAGCUGGCAGGAAGAAAAACGAAAAAGAAAAAGAAAAAAGCAACACAAGCAGCUGACCGGCAGGGAUACAAGCUACUGAGUGGCGAGCAGAGAAGUAACUGAGCAUUGGAGACUACAGAUAAACAUGACUAACUUCAGACGGUGUGGUUUUGGAGGGGAGCCCAGCCAGAGAAGGCUAGGCUUCAGAGAAACAUCACCUUCUUCACACACCAUCCCCUUUCCAGCUCCUCUUCCACCAAGAGCCACUUCCACUGCUCAAUAAAGUCCUCCACAUUCAUCAUCUUUCAGUUUGUGUGACCUGAUGAUUCUUGGACACCAAACAAGAAGUCGGUGUCCAAAAGGACAGAUGCAGAAGGCUGUCACCUUGACCCUUCACUGAGCUGUUAACACAUAGCUGUCCACAAACUGCAGGCUGAGUAACAUGAGCCACUCCAGUUCCUGCCCACGAAGGGGGUCAAGGUCAGGGGAACAGUCCCAUCUAACGUGACUCUAAGAUUUUAAACCACUGGACAGGAUUUUGAAAUUAAAUUUACCAAAUUAGUCUUACCAAAGAUUACUAAAGGAAUGUCAAUUAAAAGCAUCUGAGCUAGCUUUUGGUUGUCUGAUAAGCACUUACUUUUCUUUAAGCCAUUUGAUUAGAGCUCUUUCAUAUAAUUUGGUACUGAAAUAUUACUUCCUCAUGACAGAUAGAAACUUACAGACAAGGCCAGGCAUGGUGCCACACGCCUGUAAUCCUAGCACUUUAGGAGGCCAAGACGGGUGGAUCGCUUGAGCUCAGGACUGAGACCAGCCUGGCCAACAUGGCAAAACCCCAUCUCUACAUAAAAAAUACAAAAAAUUAGCUGGGCGAGAUAGUAUGCACCUGUGGUUCCAGCUACAUGGAUGGCUGAGGUGAGGCAGGAGGAUCCCUUGAGCCCAGUGCUCAAGGGAACAGUGAACCAAGAUCACACCACUGCGCUCCAGCCUGGGUGACAGAGUGAGACCCUGUCUCCAAAAUAAACAAAUCAAUCAAACAAACAGACAAUAAAUAAACUUAUAGACAGACACACAGAUAGAGGCACAUCCUAUAACAUUUUUCACUUGCCUGUUUUCAAAAAUUCUCUCUCUUCCUUUAGACUAUUAAUUUUUAAAAAAUUACGGGAGCCAGCAAAAGUUGAAGGAGAGAGUUACCAUCCCAGGCCUUUUCAAAAGAGGGAAAGCUCUGAGGCAAGCAGGAUGCAGCAGAAGUGGAACCCCUAGGAUGUCCAUCUGAAGAAUUUCAAGAAGAGAUUAUGGAAUUCAAAAAUAAAAAACUUCUUGCAAUUUCACUGAGUACAUCAGUAUUUUAAGAAAAUCUUGUUCUAACCAAUGAUCUCCUUUUGCAUUACUGUAUUUUUAUUAUUGAAGUCCAAUACCUAGAAUGAUUAUAAUUUCCUUUUAGUUAUAGCAAACUUAAUUACAUAAAAAUUUUUUUGAAUUCCUUUUUUACAGACUGUAUUAUGACUUGCACAGACCAUAUACAACCUGCUUGGAUUUUCUGUUCUGUCCUAAACAUCUCUCUUAAACAACAAGAUUCUUUCUCAUACAAAAUUAUUUUUCUUUUAACAUUUCUUACCAAAAAUACCUCCUUGUAACUUUCUUCUUCUUUUUUUUUGAGAUGGAGUAGUCUCGCUCUGUCACCCAGCCUGGA
rnacentral:lncRNA from 10 species